rnacentral:rRNA from 1 species
UACGGAGGGUGCAAGCGUUAUCCGGAUUCACUGGGUUUAAAGGGUGCGUAGGUGGGCUGGUAAGUCAGUGGUGAAAUCUCCGAGCUUAACUUGGAAACUGCCAUUGAUACUAUCAGUCUUGAGUACCGUGGAGGUUAGCGGAAUAUGUCAUGUAGCGGUGAAAUGCUUAGAUAUGACAUAGAACAUCAAUUGCGAAGGCAGCUGGCUACACGAAUAUUGACACUGAGGCACGAAAGCGUGGGGAUCAAACAGG